GUCCCUGUAGCGCAAUGGAUAACGUGAUGGACUUCUAAUCCAAAGGUCGUGAAUACCACCUGGGAUG